CAACACUCAACCACUGAGCCACGCCAGCCGGGCUCAGCAUUCAGCAAUUUCAGUUAAAAUGCAGAACGAUAAAUCAUAACUUUAUCAACUUCCCCAGAGGCCUUCAGAACAAAAGAAACAAGUGCAGCUAUGUGCAGUUGCUCUGUGAAUUCAUCCUAAAAGAUGCAUCUCGCUAUCCUCUGGAAGGUACAUACCAACUUACGAAGAGCACGUGGGUGGAGGAAUGGAAACCAGGCAGCUGGAAGGGGAAAAAUGCAACGUACAGAUCAUUUCACCCGAACAGACGUGGUGUUUGGUGUGGUUUUGCUUUGAUAUUUACCUUUUUUUUCCCCCCCACGAAGAAUGGAUUCAGGUAUUCCUUGAAUAAUUAAAAGU